GAGUGGCGGACGGGUGAGUAACACGUGGGUAACCUGCCCAGAAGCAGGGGAUAACACCUGGAAACAGAUGCUAAUACCGUAUAACAGAGAAAACCGCCUGGUUUUCUUUUAAAAGAUGGCUCUGCUAUCACUUCUGGAUGGACCCGCGGCGCAUUAGCUAGUUGGUGAGGUAACGGCUCACCAAGGCGAUGAUGCGUAGCCGACCUGAGAGGGUAAUCGGCCACAUUGGGACUGAGACACGGCCCAGACUCCUACGGGAGGCAGCAGUAGGGAAUCUUCCACAAUGGACGCAAGUCUGAUGGAGCAACGCCGCGUGAGUGAAGAAGGGUUUCGGCUCGUAAAGCUCUGUUGUUAAAGAAGAACGUGGGUGAGAGUAACUGUUCACCCAGUGACGGUAUUUAACCAGAAAGCCACGGCUAACUACGUGCCAGCAGCCCGCGGUAAUACGUAGGUGGCAAGCGUUAUCCGGGAUUUAUUGGGCGUAAAGCGAGCGCAGGGCGGUCUUUUAAGUCUAAUGUGAAAGCCUUUCGGCUCAACCGAAGAAGUGCAUUGGAAACUGGGAGACUUGAGUGCAGAAGAGGACAGUGGAACUCCAUGUGUAGCGGUGAAAUGCGUAGAUAUAUGGAAGAACACCAGUGGCGAAGGCGGCUGUCUGGUCUGUAACUGACGCUGAGGCUCGAAAGCAUGGGUAGCGAACAGGAUUAGAUACCCUGGUAGUCCAUGCCGUAAACGAUGAUUACUAAGUGUUGGAGGGUUUCCGCCCUUCAGUGCUGCAGCUAACGCAUUAAGUAAUCCGCCUGGGGAGUACGACCGCAAGGUUGAAACUCAAAAGAAUUGACGGGGGCCCGCACAAGCGGUGGAGCAUGUGGUUUAAUUCGAAGCUACGCGAAGAACCUUACCAGGUCUUGACAUCUUCUGCCAACCUAAGAGAUUAGGCGUUCCCUUCGGGGACAGAAUGACAGGUGGUGCAUGGUUGUCGUCAGCUCGUGUCGUGAGAUGUUGGGUUAAGUCCCGCAACGAGCGCAACCCUUAUUACUAGUUGCCAGCAUUCAGUUGGGCACUCUAGUGAGACUGCCGGUGACAAACCGGAGGAAGGUGGGGACGACGUCAAAUCAUCAUGCCCCUUAUGACCUGGGCUACACACGUGCUACAAUGGAUGGUACAACGAGUCGCGAAACCGCGAGGUUUAGCUAAUCUCUUAAAACCAUUCUCAGUUCGGACUGUAGGCUGCAACUCGCCUACACGAAGUCGGAAUCGCUAGUAAUCGCGGAUCAGCAUGCCGCGGUGAAUACGUUCCCGGGCCUUGUACACACCGCCCGUCACACCAUGAGAGUUUGUAACACCCAAAGCCGGUGGGGUAACCUUUUAGGAGCUAGCCGUCUAAAGUG
rnacentral:rRNA from 1 species